GACAGAGGAUGCAAGCGUUAUCCGGAAUUACUGGGCGUAAAGCGCACGUAGGCGGAUAUUUAAGUGAGGGGUGAAAUCCCAGGGCUCAACCCUGGAACUGCCUCUCAUACUGGGUAUCUCGAGUUCGAGAGAGGUGAGUGGAAUUGCGAGUGUAGAGGUGAAAUUCGUAGAUAUUCGCAGGAACACCAGUGGCGAAGGCGGCUCACUGGCUCGAUACUGACGCUGAGGUGCGAAAGCGUGGGGAGCAAACAGG
rnacentral:rRNA from 1 species